AUUUUUCCCUGUCAAUAUUUAUGAUUUUAACCCUCACAUCGUCUCCUUCUGUGAGGAUGUCUCUGACAUCAUGAACUAAAUCCCAAGACACUUCUGAGACAUGGACAAGCCCAGUGAGAUGAUAAGAUCCAUCUGGGAAGCGUAGAUGAACAAAAGCACCAUAAUCCUCAACUGAACCGACCUUUGCUUGAUAAGUAUCACCUACAUUUAUUUUAUUAGAAAACUUCAACCAGCUAGCUUCCUUUUCAGAGAAUAUCAAUCUUCGUCUGUCCUCAUCAGCUUGGAUUACCUUCACAGAGAGGACAGAACCGGUCAAGUCCCUCGCAAUCUCUUGAAUAGUCUUUUGUGGUUCUUUACAAGAGUGAUAAGGGCUCAUCUGUGGGAAGGGCAGAAAACCCACGAGAGAAUAAAAUCGAAUCAGCAAACCACCACCAUUGAAGCCUUCAACCUUGCCCUCAAAUAUCAGUCCCCUCUCACUGUAUGUCCUUGCUGCUUUCCAAUCAGCAGACUUCCGAGCUGGUUUGAUCUCAUCAGGUGACAAAGAUAACUGAUCAUCAACUCCAUCAAUCUUAGCAUUACCAGUAGUAGAAACUGAAACUCUAGGGCUUAACAAAGAACCCCUUUUCACCAAACAACCACUCCUAGAAAAAUUCAUAUGCAAUGGGCUUGAAUUCACUGAAAAACAACAAAACUGAUGAGUAGAAGCAGCUAUAUCACUUGUAAACAACUGUGAAAGAUACCCAAUGCCUCCUGAAACUAUGCCCAUUGCUGCAACAGACAUUAUCAGUACUAAUCUAAUAAUCAAGAUUUGGACAGAGAUUGAAAAAAAGAUUGAAUUUUGAGAGAUGGGGUGGAGUUAGUUUUGCGAAUUGGAA
rnacentral:misc_RNA from 1 species